UCCUCCUUUCUCACUUGACCUGCUGCCCGUGUGUGUUCAGAGUCAGAUCGGCUCACUUUCAUGAGUAAAAUGAGUGCUUACUACUUCUCUCUUCCUCAGUACUUUGGUCUUCACCACUGUAGCCUCUGAGCACCUGCUUUAUACGCCUCUUCUCCUUGCAGAACCAACGCAGCAUCGAGAGAGAGAGAGAGAGAGAUCCGGAUUCUAGUCUGUGUUGCUCAUGGUCAAAAGAAUUAACGAAACGGUGACGUUAUGGGUAUUGUUUCUUUAAAUCUGUAGCAAUCCGCCAGGCAGCACUGAGGCUUGGGGAGCUUCUAGGCAGAGCUCUACAGUAAAGCAGAAACAGAGGAGCUUUAGGGUUAGCAUUGCGUUGCUUAUUCUAAUAAAGGUCCAUGUUCCAUGUUGGAAGAAAGUGAUGCUCUCUAGGAUUCUUUGCCACUGGCACAUGACGGUGUCCGAGAUAAACUCCUUCUGGAGCAGGAUCAAUAACAGGAAAAGAAAACUGCCAAAGUUCAGCGCUCCCCGGCCCUUUGGGUUUGACAAGCCCCUGGACUGGCCCGAAUGAAAGGAGUUUCACCAAAUCCCGAGCCACGAUGAAGCUAAACGCAGAGCGCGGUGAAGUACAAGUCAGCUCACUGUGAUCAGCACUGGCACCUCCCGGACUAAGGGUCCAUUUCACUGACUGUGAGAAGCUGGAAAUGUCCCAGUGAUCCUGUAACUGCUGGGAAGUUUCUCCUGGGCUCAUGAGUUACAAUGAAGAUGAGGAUUUCCUUCCACUCGCAUUGUGCCAUGGGCAACCCCUCUCUGUCCAGUUACCUCCUUUUCUUUU